UAAGGAAUAUUGGGCAAUGGUCGGAAGACUGACCCAGCCAUGCCGCGUGCAGGAAGAAGGCCCUAUGGGUUGUAAACUGCUUUAGCCAGGGGCUAAACCUACCGAUGCGUUGGUAGCUGAAGGUACCUGGAGAAUAAGCAUCGGCUAACUCCGUGCCAGCAGCCGCGGUAAUACGGAGGAUGCGAGCGUUAUCCGGAUUUACUGGGUUUAAAGGGUGCGCAGGCGGUUGUUUAAGUCAGGGGUGAAAGCCCUAUGCUCAACAUAGGGAUUGCCUUUGAUACUGAACGGCUAGAGUGAAGAUGGAGUGGGUGGAAUGUGUUGUGUAGCGGUGAAAUGCAUAGAUAUAACACAGAACACCGAUCGCGAAGGCAGCUCACUAAUUUUCAACUGACGCUCAUGCACGAAAGCGUGGGGAUCAAACAG
rnacentral:rRNA from 1 species